rnacentral:rRNA from 1 species
UUGACCUCGGAUCAGGUAGGGAUCCCGCUGACUAAGGCA